GAUGAACGCUGGCGGCGUGCCUAAUACAUGCAAGUCGAGCGAACGGACGAGAAGCUUGCUUCUCUGAUGUUAGCGGCGGACGGGUGAGUAACACGUGGAUAACCUACCUAUAAGACUGGGAUAACUUCGGGAAACCGGAGCUAAUACCGGAUAAUAUUUUGAACCGCAUGGUUCAAAAGUGAAAGACGGUCUUGCUGUCACUUAUAGAUGGAUCCGCGCUGCAUUAGCUAGUUGGUAAGGUAACGGCUUACCAAGGCAACGAUGCAUAGCCGACCUGAGAGAGUGAUCGGCCACACUGGAACUGAGACACGGUCCAGACUCCUACGGGAGGCAGCAGUAGGGAAUCUUCCGCAAUGGGCGAAAGCCUGACGGAGCAACGCCGCGUGAGUGAUGAAGGUCUUCGGAUCGUAAAACUCUGUUAUUAGGGAAGAACAUAUGUGUAAGUAACUGUGCACAUCUUGACGGUACCUAAUCAGAAAGCCACGGCUAACUACGUGCCAGCAGCCGCGGUAAUACGUAGGUGGCAAGCGUUAUCCGGAAUUAUUGGGCGUAAAGCGCGCGUAGGGCGGUUUUUAAGUCUGAUGUGAAAGCCCACGGCUCAACCGUGGAGGGUCAUUGGAAACUGGAAAACUUGAGUGCAGAAGAGGAAAGUGGAAUUCCAUGUGUAGCGGUGAAAUGCGCAGAGAUAUGGAGGAACACCAGUGGCGAAGGCGACUUUCUGGUCUGUAACUGACGCUGAUGUGCGAAAGCGUGGGGAUCAAACAGGAUUAGAUACCCUGGUAGUCCACGCCGUAAACGAUGAGUGCUAAGUGUUAGGGGGUUUCCGCCCCUUAGUGCUGCAGCUAACGCAUUAAGCACUCCGCCUGGGGAGUACGACCGCAAGGUUGAAACUCAAAGGAAUUGACGGGGACCCGCACAAGCGGUGGAGCAUGUGGUUUAAUUCGAAGCAACGCGAAGAACCUUACCAAAUCUUGACAUCCUUUGACAACUCUAGAGAUAGAGCCUUCCCCUUCGGGGGACAAAGUGACAGGUGGUGCAUGGUUGUCGUCAGCUCGUGUCGUGAGAUGUUGGGUUAAGUCCCGCAACGAGCGCAACCCUUAAGCUUAGUUGCCAUCAUUAAGUUGGGCACUCUAAGUUGACUGCCGGUGACAAACCGGAGGAAGGUGGGGAUGACGUCAAAUCAUCAUGCCCCUUAUGAUUUGGGCUACACACGUGCUACAAUGGACAGUACAAAGGGCAGCGAAACCGCGAGGUCAAGCAAAUCCCAUAAAGUUGUUCUCAGUUCGGAUUGUAGUCUGCAGCUCGACUACAUGAAGCUGGAAUCGCUAGUAAUCGUAGAUCAGCAUGCUACGGUGAAUACGUUCCCGGGUCU
rnacentral:rRNA from 1 species